AUGAAACACCCUGGUGCCCACGUGGACGUGUCGGUGGCGAGAGCCUCCGUCGUCCGAAGUGUCGAAAGGCAAGCCUCUCUCACUGGGUGACCGGAGAGAUGUCCGCUCAGGCGUGCGGCCGCGGACGUCGCCGGCAGGAGCGGUGGGAGAGCUGUCUUGCUUAACUCUGUCGACCUCAGAUCAGACGAGAAUACCCGCUGAAU
rnacentral:rRNA from 1 species